rnacentral:lncRNA from 1 species
UGAUUUGAUUUUUAUUGAACGGUUUAGAUGGGAGGGGUAGGUUUUAUAAACCUAACUGCAAAGGUUGGAAAACCAAGGGUUGCUGCAUCGUUGUUUUUAAAGAAAUUUCUGCCAUUUUGCAAAGGUAUUCUUCUGUAACUAUUUUCUCUUCUUAUUUCACAUUGUUGUUCUUGUUGCUCCUAGUAUUUUUGUUGCUGUUUUUCGCUUGAAUUCUCUUGUUUUUGCUUGAAAUAUUUCUUUCUUGUGAAUACUGCAAUAGUUUUAUAAUUUCUUUGAAAUUUGUCUCCUUU